rnacentral:rRNA from 1 species
GACGAACGCUGGCGGCGUGCUUAACACAUGCAAGUCGAACGGAAAGGCCCUGCUUUUGUGGGGUGCUCGAGUGGCGAACGGGUGAGUAACACGUGUGUAACCUGCCCUUGACUUUGGGAUAACUUCAGGAAACUGGGGCUAAUACCGGAUAGGAGCUCCUGCUGCAUGGUGGGGGUUGGAAAGUUUCGGCGGUUGGGGAUGGACUCGCGGCUUAUCAGCUUGUUGGUGGGGUAGUGGCUUACCAAGGCUUUGACGGGUAGCCGGCCUGAGGGGGUGACCGGCCACAUUGGGACUGAGAUACGGCCCAGACUCCUACGGGAGGCAGCAGUGGGGAAUAUUGCACAAUGGGCGGAAGCCUGAUGCAGCAACGCCGCGUGCGGGAUGACGGCCUUCGGGUUGUAAACCGCUUUCGCCUGUGACGAAGCGUGAGUGACGGUAAUGGGUAAAGAAGCACCGGCUAACUACGUG